rnacentral:rRNA from 1 species
UACGGGGGGGCAAGCGUUGUUCGGAAUUACUGGGCGUAAAGGGCUCGUAGGUGGCCAACUAAGUCAGACGUGAAAUCCCUCGGCUUAACCGGGGAACUGCGUCUGAUACUGGAUGGCUUGAGUUCGGGAGAGGGAUGCGGAAUUCCAGGUGUAGCGGUGAAAUGCGUAGAUAUCUGGAGGAACACCGGGUGGCGAAGGCGGCAUCCUGGACCGACACUGACGCUGAGGAGCGAAAGCCAGGGGAGCAAAGCGGG